GACGAACGCUGGCGGCGUGCCUAAUACAUGCAAGUCGAGCGAGGAACUUCGGUUCCUAGCGGCGAACGGGUGAGUAACACGUGGGCAACCUGGCCUCAAGCCUGGGAUAACACCGGGAAACCGGUGCUAACACCAGAUAAUCUCUUUUCUCGCAUGAGAGAAGGGUAAAAGUUUACACUUGAGGAUGGGCCCGCGGUGCAUUAGCUAGUUGGUGGGGUAACGGCCUACCAAGGCAACGAUGCAUAGCCGACCUGAGAGGGUGACCGGCCACACUGGGACUGAGACACGGCCCAGACUCCUACGGGAGGCAGCAGUAGGGAAUUUUCCGCAAUGGGGGCAACCCUGACGGAGCAACGCCGCGUGAGUGAAGACGGCCUUCGGGUUGUAAAGCUCUGUUCUUGGGGAAGAAAACAAUGACGGUACCCAAGCAGAAAGCCCCGGCUAACUACGUGCCAGCCGCCGCGGUAAGAC
rnacentral:rRNA from 1 species